rnacentral:rRNA from 1 species
UACGGAGGGUGCGAGCGUUGUCCGGAAUCACUGGGCGAAAGGGCGCGUAGGUGGCUCGUGAAGCGUGCGGUGAAAGUCCGAGGCUCAACCUCGGAUCGGCCGUGCGGACUCGCGGGCUGGAGCGUUGUAGAGGCGGGUGGAAUUCCGGGUGUAGCGGUGGAAUGCGUAGAGAUCCGGAAGAACACCGGUGGGCGAAGGCGG